rnacentral:lncRNA from 1 species
CAAAGGAAGAAAAGGGAAGAAAAGAAGAACAAAAACCUAGCUAAGAGAUUCAAGAGAAAUUCACAAAAUUUCAAAGAAUCAAGUGACAAAAGGUAAGAUUUCUUAAUUCUAGCUUGUGAUCUACCUUUCCUAUGCAUUAUUUUGCAUUUUCCAUGCUUGAGAAUCAAGUUUACAUGAGGAUACCCUUGUUGGCCGAACACUUAGAGGGAGGUUUUGGUGCUUGAUUAGGUUAGAUUUCAAUGUAUUUUAGUGUUUUUAGUUAGUUAGUGAUGUGUAGCAUGAAAAUCAAGCAAGAAAAAUUCAUGUUCUUCCAUUACCCAUCAUUGGCCAAAUUCUCCAUGUGGAAUAUUGAUGAUGAUUUUGAUUUUAUUUCAAGUGAAUUGGUUAUGAAAUGAUGAAUUACGAUGAGAAAAUCAAGUAGGAAAAAUCAUAGUAUUGAUGCACCCACCAUGGCCGAAUUUUCCAAGAGAAAAUGUGAGGAUGAUUUUUCCAUAUUUCAAGUUAUUUAACUUGUGUUUGAUUGUUUGGAGAAUUAGAAGAAAAAUGGAAUUAUUUGGAGUUAAAUUGGACAUAUUGGCCAAUUAAUCGAGUAAUAGAUAGAAUUAGGCCAAUGCCAUUUUAUUUAGGUACAUAAUUGAAUUUAUAUUGAACACCGUAUUUAGAUAGUUACCCGAGUAUUUCACAUCCCAUUUCAUGCAUUAGUAUAAAGCCUGAAUUGGUUUUAUAACAAUUUAGCACAAAUGUAGUAAAUGGCUUAUUGUGCAUUAUGUCUAGGUAGUGAGCAUUCUGGCAAAAGUAAAGAGAUAGUACCCGAGGAUCAAGAAUCGGAGUACUCGAAAUUCGACUCUUGAAAUAGUGAGUAACCUUACUAUCAUUUUAAUUAUCUAAAGUGGUUUUUAUCCGAUUUUGUUAUUUUAUGGAAAAUGAGUUAAAUGGUAAAUCUUUGUGUUUGUAAUUAAAAUGUGAUUUAAUGAAAUGAUUUAUAACAUUGUCUUGAAAUUGAAUGAUGGUUUGAAAAUAGAGUAAUUGCAGACUGUUUUCAUGUGUUGUAAAUUCAUGGUUUGAAUCGAAUGGCUUAUGACAAUAAUUGCAUGAAUGAUUGAAUUGGUAUUUGUGUUGAAAUAUAUGAACUGUGUAUUUAGCCUUGAGAGGCUGGAUUGUGAUAUAAUUGCCAUGUCAUGCUAUCGCAAAUUUUAUUGUAUGGUGGGUUUAGCUUGCUGCAGUGGGUGGGUUUUGUGGACUAGCCUUUUUGAGGGGCACAAAAUCCUGUUAUAUUCUUACCUCGAUUGGGGAGGCGUGUAGGGUAACUCCCGAGGUACAACUUUAGAGUUCACUUCGUGUCAAACCACCACAUGAGGGUGAACUCAGCCAAUGCUAAGGAACGACUAUGUUUUCAAAAUAAAAACAUGAUUUAUGCGUACAUGACUUUUUAACAGCCUUGGCGAACUUGGUUGGGACAGCCCCAGGCCAAGGUAUCCCUAACAAUCGAGUAUGAGAAUGAUUUUGGCACGAGCCAAAGUUUUAAGAAAUUCAUAAGCCAUGUUGAUUACUGGAUUUAUAUGAAUUGAUUUUAUUUGGCUGAAAUGAGUUGAAAGGUGA